UCUUGCUUCUUGUCCCUCACCCUGCUCAUUUGCCCUCUGGUCUGUGCAUGGACCUCCUGGCUUGGUGACAGCCUCUGGAAUGUGUCUGAUCCUGACCUAUGGGGUCACCACCACAUUGGCCUUGGAGUUGUGUCAGCCCCUUGAGCUUGUCUAAUAGGAGCCUGUGGUUGAAGGUGCUCUGCUGUCCUCAUCAGCUAUUGUGGGACUGGCUCUGGCCUCAGCUCCUGCCUCCCUGCCCUGCUGGAAGAAGACAUGGAUUAGUCAAGCCCCUCUGUUGUAGCUGGCCGAAAUUCUUCAGUUCUAAGAAGGGUUCUGGUUUUUCUCUUCCACACAAAUGUGAAGUUUCACCUGAAAAUUAAGAGCUUUGGGGGAGCUCGGAGCAGUGUUUGGAAGGGCACGGCUUCCUCCACACUCACAUGGUUGCUAGAUUGGAGCUGGUUGGAUACUUCCUCUAACCUGAGACAGGACUAAGAAAUAUCUGACUUGUGAGUUCGUGUGAUUUAAUCAGUACUAACCUGAAUACCCCGUCUUCCCCAAGAUCUGGUUUUACAGGGAUUUUCCUUCCUGGACCAUGUACCCCAAAAAUCCCAGGUGUCCUCUCUGGAGGCUGAAACUGGGUCCUGAGCUGGUCUUGCUGAAUCUAAUUCCUUUAUAGCUUUAAAAAGGCUCAGAAAUGCACCUGAGAUGCUGCUGCUGAUGGGGAAGGGGUUAAUUUUGCCCUGUUUUUUCUUAGUUUACUCUUAAUUUUCUCUUUGCUCCUCAGAGGAAUGUGGGCUCAGUUUACAAGGAGUUAGGACCAGGCUAGGUUCUCUUUUUAGACAAAAGCCUGAAAUUCCAUGGAAGAAUUUUACCCCUUUCGUCUGCUUUAUCUGCCAUUAAAAGGAGAGGCUGAGUUUCAGCAGCAGGUCUAUUGCAGAAGUAGAAACAAGCUCUAAAGCUGGACUCUGGAUCCUGAUUUCCUCCAAAGCCUGUGCUGAAAUUCAGACAUAGGCUGGCAUAACGAGUGCUGCUUAGAAAUAAUGCCAUGCAGAGAUUUCUGGGCUAAAGUUUGGUGUUAAUCUCGUGAAGUGCUGUCUGUGGGGUGUUGUUUCAGGGGUCAUUCAGCAGCGUCUCGCCACAGAGAAGAGCACUAUUGAACUCCUUGGAAAAGCUAUGAAAUUUCAUACACUGGUUGCAACCCCAGGAGACUAAUCCAGCCCCAAACACUAUCACUCUUAGAUUUGUGUUUCACUCAAGAAGUCAUGAAGCAAUCUAUUUUGCCAGGGGAAAAGGGAAAAAAAAUAGAAAAUCAUUAUUUUAUCAUCCUGAGUACUUUCCAUGUAUCACAAAUGCCUGAGAUCUUUGAGAAAUCUCUCAGUUGUGCAGAAAAGCAUUACACUGGCUGGGAACUCAGCCUUUCUUUGGGUAUUUCUGCUUGUCAUUUUUACUUACAUACAAAUAUUAAUGAAGACCUAAAUGUGCCCUUUUCCUAUUGCCCUUUAUGUGUUUGAUAAAGAUGGCUCAUAAUCCUACAGCUGUCUUUUCCCCACUUUAAAAGGUUCUGGCUUCUUAUUGCUGUCAGGAUAAUGCUGCAUCAUUCCACCUAACCACCAAUAAAUAGAAAUGCAGAGCCAUGACUUCUAUUUGAAAGCAUGCAGGCUCCUUUGUACUGUUUCUGUAUAUAUAAAUCUAUCUUCCAACUUGUAGCAGUAGUACAACAUCUGAAUUAAAUCAUGACUUAUUCUUUCUAUUAAAGCUGUGUUGUCCUUGCCAUUAUUCCCUUUUCCAGUAAACUAAUACAAUGAAAAAUUGAUUCUAGCUGUA